rnacentral:misc_RNA from 1 species
AAGUCGUAACAAGGUCUCCGUUGGUGAACCAGCGGAGGGAUCAUUACAGAGUUGCAAAACUCCCACAAACCAUCGCGAAUCUUACCCGUACGGUUGCCUCGGCGCUGGCGGUCCGGAAGGCCCUCGGGCCCCCCGGAUCCUCGGGUCUCCCGCUCGCGGGAGGCUGCCCGCCGGAGUGCCGAAACCAAACUCUUGAUAUUUUAUGUCUCUCUGAGUAAACUUUUAAAUAAGUCAAAACUUUCAACAACGGAUCUCUUGGUUCUG